GGCCUCGUGGUCUAGUGGUAUGAUUCUCGCUUCGGGUGCAGGAGGUCCCGGGUUCGAUUCCGGUGAGGCCC
rnacentral:tRNA from 1 species